UUGAUCUUGGAGUACUUGGGAAAAGUUCUGGAAGCCUACAAUGAAGAGUGUGGCAACAAAGCUAUCUGCACCAUCAUGGCCUGCUUGCUCACUUCAAGGAGGGGGAUGGUAUCUUCCUUAUGGCUGAUGUGAGUAUAACUUGCAGUGCAUAUACAUAAAUUAACCAUUCCCUCACUCCCUCCCUCCCAUCUCUGUCCUGCUAUUUUGUAAUUGUUAAUUACCAGAAAUCAGUCACCAGCCCCAUCCUUUGCUAUGGACACUUUGCACAAGUUAUUCUAAUACUCCAUAGACUCUGAUUAGCCUGAGUAUCAGACACCCGUCUCAUUCAAAGCAUUUACAAAGGGGGAGGGCUUUAGAUACCUUUUCAAAAGAAAACUUUUCCCAUUGCCAGUUCGGAGAACAGCCAAAAUGUCAUUCCUUCUAAAAAAAGCUCUCCAUGCAGAAUAUUGUUCUGGUUUCAGAGCAGUUAUUCCAGUAAACCGUGUGUUUUUUACGAAAACUGCCUCAAUUGCACUAUCGAUAUUCUCCGAUCUCCGAUAUUUGCCAUGUGCAGCUGUUUCUACAUUUGGCACCAUACAUUGAAGCUGAUUUCCCCCUAGGUGUUGAGUAGAACAUGACAGCUUUUGUUUUCUUUGUCCUUGUUCACUCAAUUUACCCAUGGUUAACUUAUGUUUUUUAUUCUCCAGCCCUCUGCCACGGCUGCCGAUAUCGAGAGAGCUGUCACCCUGCCAAGCACACCUCGAUUAGUUGUACCAGGAGAGAUACUGCACGGUGCAGACACGUGGAUUAUGUCCAUGGAAGGAGCAUGUGUGAUGGGGCCCCACAGCAACCUCCUGCAACUUGCAAUAUCCGGCAUAAGCGGCUAGCACACUUGAGUUCAUCCAGAGAGCCUUUUGCGGCAUAAAUCCCCAGACGGGCAGCGAGGCAGAGAAAAAACGAGGGCUGAACGCACCAGUUUGCACACUUUUGAGAAAACUGCUGGAUUUUGAAUUGGUGGGUAGGGGAUAUUAGUGGGCAGGGGAAAUUAGAGGGCAGAGGACAUUAGUGGGCUGAGGACAUUAGUGAACAGGGGGCAUUAGAGGGCAGGGGACAUUACAGGACAUUAGUGGGCAGGGGGCAUGUCUCUAUCAGCAAACUUGAUCACAAUAUUGGAUUGAUGUGCU
rnacentral:lncRNA from 15 species